rnacentral:rRNA from 1 species
GGUUAAGCUACUAAGAGCACACGGAGGAUGCCUAGGCGCCAGGAGCCGAUGAAGGACGUGGCGAACAACGAAAAGGCCUCGGGGAGCUGUAAGCAAGCGUUGAUCCGGGGGUGUCCGAAUGGGGAAACCCGGCUGUGGUAAUGCACAGUCACUGCUCUCUGAAUUCAUAGGAGAGCUAGAGGCAGACCAGGGGAACUGAAACAUCUAAGUACCCUGAGGAAGAGAAAACAAGAGUGAUUCCGUCAGUAGCGGCGAGCGAACGCGGAACAGCCUAAACCAGGGAGCUUGCUCCCUGGGGUUGUGGGACGUCUCCCAUGGAGUUACAAAGGAAUAGGGUAAACGAAGAGGUCUGGAAAGGCCCGCCAGAGAAGGUAAAAGCCCUGUACUUGAAAUUCUAUUCCCUCCGAGACGGAUCCCGAGUAGUGCGGGGCACGUGAAACCCCGUAUGAAUCCGGCAGGACCAUCUGCCAAGGCUAAAUACUCCCUGGCGACCGAUAGUGAAACAGUACCGUGAGGGAAAGGUGAAAAGCACCCCGGAAGGGGAGUGAAACAGGUCCUGAAACCGUGUGCUUACAAGAAGUCAGAGCCCAUUUUAGGGGUGAUGGCGUGCCUUUUGUAGAAUGAACCGGCGAGUUACGUUUAACGUGCAAGGUUAAGGCGAGAAGCCGGAGCCGCAGCGAAAGCGAGUCUGAAUAGGGCGCUUAAGUACGUGGGCGUAGACCCGAAACCGGGUGAUCUACCCCUGUCCAGGGUGAAGGUGCGGUAACACGCACUGGAGGCCCGAACCCACGAACGUUGAAAAGUUCGGGGAUGAGGUGGGGGUAGCGGAGAAAUUCCAAUCGAACUCGGAGAUAGCUGGUUCUCCCCGAAAUAGCUUUAGGGCUAGCCUCGG